rnacentral:misc_RNA from 1 species
CACAAUAGUAGUUGCUUUUUCAUGCAUAUCUUUCAACACUUGCAUAUACCUAAUAGAUACCCUCUUUGCCCAUGUAACUCCAAACAAAUAAAAUGCAAGACACCUUUGCCCCUCGCAAUUGGCUACUAAACAAGAAGAUUGAUUCGUAAAUCAUAGCUUCACUACCAAAUUUACACAUAUAUCACCAGCUUGUAUAACUCUCCUGGUAAAAGGUUCCAUUACUUGCUCUAUAAUAUCCUUUGAAUUGGCUUAGGUGCUGCUUUCAUACACAAAUGAUAAAUAUAUCCAUGGGAAUAACACCUCCAACUCCCCUUGCAAAAUAUUCUUAUUUUAGCACAAUUUGAGUUCAAACUUCUUAAGCUUAGCAUUUUCUUCAACUCUCACCCUAGCUCUAUAGGGCAAAUCCAACUGUUCACCACUGAAUAUGCAUAAUAGAGAUUCAGAACUUGGGUUUAUACCAAUCCCAUAUAACCAACAACCUCAGCAUUUUCCUCAUUAUUAAAAAUAAAAACCAUGCCCUGGAGCUACAUUUCUGCAUCAUACUUCUUCCCAUAAAAGGACCAGCUUGACAUCCUUCACAUUACAGGAAACACGUAAUAGAAGUAUCACAGCCACAUUAAGUACCUAUCCACAAAAUCACCCACAUAAACCAUAGAAAAUUUUCCUACACCAGUCACCUCUUGCCAUAACAUGCUUCAACCUAAUAGCAAUAACUCUCUUCCAAAGACUCUUUCUCUGAUAAAAAGCUGCAGAGCCCUUUAAUAUAAAUUUAGCUAAGACCAUGCACGAAGAUCUUUUAGUGCAUGAGGUCCUUAUUAGUGAUUCUGCGUAUCUUAUUUGCAACAUUCUGGCAAUUAUAUAUUGCAUACUAGAGUGGAUCGAUAAGUUGUAAUUUGCCAAAUGGGUUCAUCAUCUUCAUCAUGGUUUCUAUAGAAAAUACUCUUGAAUCAUUCAUCGAAGAACAACUUAUCAAUCUACUCUUGGAUGCAGCAAAUAUUUACUGAAAUCUAGGACCUCAUGCAUUAGAAAAUUUUAUGCAUGGCCUUAGCUAGAUUUGUAUUAGCGGCAAAUUAUAGUUUAAUCUUUCUUUUUUUAAGUUAAAGCACUUAUUUCUCCAAGGGCUUAUUUGAUACAAUUUUAAAAAAUUUAAAAGACUUAUUUGAUUUUUAAGUUGAAGGGUUUAAUUAGACCCCAAAAAACUUUUUAAGGACUUACGUUACUAUUUAGCAUGACUUUAAGAUCUUAAAUAGUCCUUUGCCCCUCUCUCAAUAUGUUUUCAACACUUGCAAGAAGCUAAGUUAAAUUUCAAAGCUUUUCAUACCAAAUAGUCACAACAAACAGCUAAAAACGAGAUACAAAUUCAAUAAACCAGCCUGAACUUUCAAGUAUUUCACAUAUAACACAGAUGCUGCAAAACAAAAUAAAAUUAUAUAAUCAUCAAAAUGCACAAGAAAAGCAAACACAAAUACCAAGCUUGAAUAUGAUAAGCUAACAAUGAACAAUCAAUCACCACACUUUUAACAUAAUAGCAUCAGAAUGCAAUAAAGAUAUAAAAGAGAAAUCCAUCGCAUGCAGAUAUAAGAAUACCUGAAAGACGGGAAUGGUCAAC